rnacentral:rRNA from 1 species
UACAGAGGGUGCAAGCGUUGUUCGGAAUUAUUGGGCGUAAAGGGAGUGUAGGCUGUUAGGUAAGUCUUCUGUGAAAUCUACGGGCUUAGCCUGUAAAGUGCAGAGGAAACUGCUUAGCUUGAGUGUCGGAGAGGAUAGGGGAAUACCCGGUGUAGAGGUGAAAUUCGUAGAGAUCGGGUGGAACACCAGUGGCGAAGGCGCCUAUCUGGCUGACAACUGACGCUGAGACUCGAAAGCAUGGGGAGCAAACAGG